AACGAACGCUGGCGGCAUGCCUAACACAUGCAAGUCGAACGAGACCUUCGGGUCUCGUGGCGCACGGGUGCGUAACGCGUGGGAACCUGCCCUUAGGUUCGGAAUAACUCCCCGAAAGGGGUGCUAAUACCGGAUAAUGUCUUCGGACCAAAGAUUUAUCGCCUUUGGAUGGGCCCGCGUUGGAUUAGCUAGUUGGUAGGGUAAAAGCCUACCAAGGCGACGAUCCAUAGCUGGUCUGAGAGGAUGGGCAGACACACUGGGACUGGGACACGGCCCAGACUCCUACGGGAGGCAGCAGUGGGGAAUAGUGGACAGUGGGCGAAAGCCUGAUCCAGCAAGGCCGCGUGAGUGAUGAAGGCCUUAGGGUUGUAAAGCGCUUUUACCCGGGAUGAUAAUGACAGUACCGGGAGAAUAAGCUCCGGCUAACUCCGUG
rnacentral:rRNA from 1 species